rnacentral:rRNA from 1 species
CACGUAGUUAGCCGUGACUUUCUCAUAAGGUACCGUCAAUUGAUAGUCAUUUCCUCCUAUCACCUUUCUUCCCUUAUAACAGAAUUUUACAACCCGAAGGCCUUCUUCAUUCACGCGGCGUUGCUCGGUCAGGCUUUCGCCCAUUGCCGAAGAUUCCCUACUGCUGCCUCCCGUAGGAGUCUGGGCCGUGUCUCAGUCCCAGUGUGGCCGUUCACCCUCUCAGGUCGGCUACGCAUCGUCGCCUUGGUAGGCCUUUACCCCACCAACUAGCUAAUGCGCCGCAGGCUCAUCCAUCAGUGAUGCCAGGAGCAUCUUUAAACUUUCGUCCUAUCCGGUAUUAGCGAUCGUUUCCAAUCGUUGUCCCCGUCUGAUGGGCAGAUCACCUACGUGUUACUCACCCGUUCGCCGCUUCCCACCGAAGUGGUUCGCUCGACUUGCAUGUAUUAGGCACGCCGCCAGCGUUCAUCCUGAGCCAGGAUCAAACUCU